UACGGAGGGUGCGAGCGUUGUCCGGAAUCACUGGGCGUAAAGGGCGCGUAGGCGGCGCGGGCAGUCAACGGUGAAAGCUUGGGGCUCAACCCCGAGUCGGCCGUCGAUACUCCCGGGCUGGAGCACUGUAGAGGCAGGUGGAAUUCCGGGUGUAGCGGUGGAAUGCGUAGAGAUCCGGAAGAACACCAGUGGCGAAGGCGGUCUGCUGGGCAGUUGCUGACACUGAUGCGCGACAGCGUGGGGAGCAAACAGG
rnacentral:rRNA from 1 species